rnacentral:rRNA from 1 species
UACGUAGGGCGCAAGCGUUGUCCGGAAUUAUUGGGCGUAAAGAGCUCGUAGGUGGCAUGGUAAGUCGGAUGUGAAAUCCCGGGGCUCAACCCCGGAACUGCAUUCGAUACUGCUGAGCUAGAGUACUGGAGAGGAGAUUGGAAUUUACGGUGUAGCAGUGAAAUGCGUAGAUAUCGUAAGGAAGACCAGUGGCGAAGGCGGAUCUCUGGACAGUUACUGACACUGAGGCACGAAGGCCAGGGGAGCAAACGGG